UACGGAGGGGGCUAGCGUUGUUCGGAAUUACUGGGCGUAAAGCGCGCGUAGGCGGCUUUGUAAGUUAGAGGUGAAAGCCCGGAGCUCAACUCCGGAAUUGCCUUUGAUACUGAGGAUCUUGAGUUCGGGAGAGGUGAGUGGAACUGCGAGUGUAGAGGUGAAAUUCGUAGAUAUUCGCAAGAACACCAGUGGCGAAGGCGGCUCACUGGCCCGAUACUGACGCUGAGGCACGAAAGCGUGGGGAGCAAACAGG
rnacentral:rRNA from 1 species